rnacentral:rRNA from 1 species
GAUUUAGCUGGUUUCUAGUGGCGGACGGGUGAGUAACGCGUGGGUAACCUGCCUUAUACAGGGGGAUAACAGCCAGAAAUGACUGCUAAUACCGCAUAAGCGCACAGAACCGCAUGGUUCGGUGUGAAAAACUCCGGUGGUAUAAGAUGGACCCGCGUUGGAUUAGCUAGUUGGCAGGGCAGCGGCCUACCAAGGCGACGAUCCAUAGCCGGCCUGAGAGGGUGAACGGCCACAUUGGGACUGAGACACGGCCCAGACUCCUACGGGAGGCAGCAGUGGGGAAUAUUGCGCAAUGGGGGAAACCCUGAUGCAGCGACGCCGCGUGAAGGAAGAAGUAUCUCGGUAUGUAAACUCCUAUCAGCAGGGAAGAUAAUGACGGUACCUGACUAAGAAGCCCCGGCUAACUACGUGCCAGCAGCCGCGGUAAUACGUAGGGGGCAAGCGUUAUCCGGAUUUACUGGGUGUAAAGGGAGCGUAGACGGCGCAGCAAGUCUGAUGUGAAAGGCAGGGGCUUAACCCCUGGACUGCAUUGGAAACUGUCUGGCUCGAG